UUGUACCAAGGGCAUAACUCCAGGCUUCAACCAGUAUUUUCAGCUAUGACAUUUCAGUCCAAACUAGACCAACAAUUCUCUCUGUAAUUGAAGAACAAACAUCAUUCACAUGAAAAUGACUUUGUACAGGCUUUUCAUACAGACAGAAAUAUAAAUGGAACUUUUUUUCAAAUGCUAGAAGUCCCUGGCCUUGAGUUCUCGGAAUUGAACUCCGGUCGUGGCUCUUGCGAAGCAGGCGGCGAAACUACUGAGCUAAAUCCCCAGCCCCUUUCCCUCCUUUUUAUUUUUAAAAUACAAUGUGUUCUAUCCACUAUUCAUCAUCUUGAUUUUUAUGUAACAAAUUAGAGAUUUUUGCAUAUUGAUA